rnacentral:lncRNA from 1 species
GUCUUCCUUCCCCCAAUGGAAUAAGCACAACAUGGUACUAAUACCACCAUUAAAAGGAAAAAAACUAAAAGAAGACGUGCCAAUGUACAAGUUAUAUAAUAAUUUAUGCAUUAUUUCUAACAAAUCUCAUAAAAUCUUCAAGGUUGGGAGGUGGUUGUGUCGGCGGUGGUGGAAAUGAAGCUUGUUCCUCACCACUUCCGGGUGAAGUUGCUUCCUGAGAAAGUUCUGCUAUCAUUUCUUCAUAGCACUCAUCUAUUUCUGGUUGUGAUUCAGCUAGGCCAAAGUUCCUUCUUUCUGCGCGGAUCCAAUCUCGAAAN